rnacentral:rRNA from 1 species
GAUCAUGGCUCAGAUUGAACGCUGGCGGCAGGCCUAACACAUGCAAGUCGAGCGGUAGCACAGAGAGCUUGCUCUCGGGUGACGAGCGGCGGACGGGUGAGUAAUGUCUGGGAAACUGCCUGAUGGAGGGGGAUAACUACUGGAAACGGUAGCUAAUACCGCAUAAUGUCGCAAGACCAAAGUGGGGGACCUCGGUCCGUCCAUGCCACUCACGAUGUUGGCCCACGAUGGGAG